AAGAAAUCAACCGAGAUUCCCCCAGUAGCGGCGAGCGAACGGGGAGCAGCCCAGAGCCUGAAUCAGUGUGUGUGUUAGUGGAAGCGUCUGGAAAGGCGUGCGAUACAGGGUGACAGCCCCGUACACAAAAAUGCACAUAUUGUGAGCUCGAUGAGUAGGGCGGGACACGUGGUAUCCUGUCUGAAUAUGGGGGGACCAUCCUCCAAGGCUAAAUACUCCUGACUGACCGAUAGUGAACCAGUACCGUGAGGGAAAGGCGAAAAGAACCCCGGCGAGGGGAGUGAAAAAGAACCUGAAACCGUGUACGUACAAGCAGUGGGAGCACGCUUAGGCGUGUGACUGCGUACCUUUUGUAUAAUGGGUCAGCGACUUAUAUUCUGUAGCAAGGUUAACCGAAUAGGGGAGCCGAAGGGAAACCGAGUCUUAACUGGGCGUUAAGUUGCAGGGUAUAGACCCGAAACCCGGUGAUCUAGCCAUGGGCAGGUUGAAGGUUGGGUAACACUAACUGGAGGACCGAACCGACUAAUGUUGAAAAAUUAGCGGAUGACUUGUGGCUGGGGGUGAAAGGCCAAUCAAACCGGGAGAUAGCUGGUUCUCCCCGAAAGCUAUUUAGGUAGCGCCUCGUGAAUUCAUCUCCGGGGGUAGAGCACUGUUUCGGCAAGGGGGUCAUCCCGACUUACCAACCCGAUGCAAACUGCGAAUACCGGAGAAUGUUAUCACGGGAGACACACGGCGGGUGCUAACGUCCGUCGUGAAGAGGGAAACAACCCAGACCGCCAGCUAAGGUCCCAAAGUCAUGGUUAAGUGGGAAACGAUGUGGGAAGGCCCAGACAGCCAGGAUGUUGGCUUAGAAGCAGCCAUCAUUUAAAGAAAGCGUAAUAGCUCACUGGUCGAGUCGGCCUGCGCGGAAGAUGUAACGGGGCUAAACCAUGCACCGAAGCUGCGGCAGCGACGCUUAUGCGUUGUUGGGUAGGGGAGCGUUCUGUAAGCCUGCGAAGGUGUGCUGUGAGG
rnacentral:rRNA from 1 species